UGUGAACACAUGUGAAAUCAUGUUUGACGUUUCACAUGUGAACACAUGUGAAACUUCACAUGUGAAGUUUCACAUGUGAAGUUUCACGUGUGAAUUUGGAACAUGUGAAACAUAAUUUCACAUGUGAAAUUUCACAUGUGAAAAAUCACAUGUUCCAAAUUCACAUGUGAAAUUUCACACAUGUGAAAUCAUGUGGAAUUU
rnacentral:sRNA from 1 species